UACGAAGGGGGGCUAGCGUUGCUCGGAAUCACUGGGCGUAAAGCGCACGUAGGCGGAUUGUUAAGUCAGGGGGUGAAAUCCUGGAGCUCAACUCCAGAACUGCCUUUGAUACUGGCGAUCUCGAGUCCGGGAGAGGUGAGUGGAACUGCGAGUGUAGAGGUGAAAUUCGUAGAUAUUCGCAAGAACACCAGUGGCGAAGGCGGCUCACUGGCCCGGUACUGACGCUGAGGCACGAAAGCGUGGGGAGCAAACAGGG
rnacentral:rRNA from 1 species